AUUUCCAAUUUGAUGAUGAAGGGGGAUCAUGACAGAAAUGACAUU
rnacentral:sRNA from 13 species